rnacentral:misc_RNA from 1 species
UACAGAGACUGCAAGCGUUGUUCGGAUUUAUUGGGCGUAAAGAGCUCGUAGGCGGCUUGGUUAGUCGGACGUGAAAUCUCCUGGCUCAACUGGAGGGGCCGUUCGAUACUGCCAUGGCUAGAGUCCGGUAGAGGAGUGUGGAAUUCCCGGUGUAGCGGUGAAAUGCGCAGAUAUCGGGAGGAACACCUACAGCGAAGGCAGCACUCUGGGCCGGCACUGACGCUGAGGAGCGAAAGCGUGGGGAGCAAACAGG